rnacentral:rRNA from 1 species
GGCGAACGCUGGCGGCAGGCUUAACACAUGCAAGUCGAACGGGCGUAGCAAUACGUCAGUGGCAGACGGGUGAGUAACGCGUGGGAACGUACCUUUUGGUUCGGAACAACCCAGGGAAACUUGGGCUAAUACCGGAUAAGCCCUUACGGGGAAAGAUUUAUCGCCGAAAGAUCGGCCCGCGUCUGAUUAGCUAGUUGGUGUGGUAACGGCGCACCAAGGCGACGAUCAGUAGCUGGUCUGAGAGGANGAUCAGCCACAUUGGGACUGAGACACGGCCCAAACUCCUACGGGAGGCAGCAGUGGGGAAUAUUGGACAAUGGGCGCAAGCCUGAUCCAGCCAUGCCGCGUGAGUGAUGAAGGCCCUAGGGUUGUAAAGCUCUUUUGUGCGGGAAGAUAAUGACGGUA